rnacentral:rRNA from 1 species
UACGUAGGGGGCUAGCGUUAUCCGGAAUUACUGGGCGUAAAGGGUGCGUAGGUGGUUUCUUAAGUCAGAGGUGAAAGGCUACGGCUCAACCGUAAUAAGCCUUUGAAACUGGGAAACUUGAGUGCAGUAGAGGAGAGUGGAACUCCUAGUGUAGCGGUGAAAUGCGUAGAUAUUAGGAGGAACACCAGUUGCGAAGGCGGCUCUCUGGACUGUAACUGACACUGAGGCACGAAAGCGUGGGGAGCAAACAGGAUUAGAUACCCUGGUAGUCCCUGAG